rnacentral:rRNA from 1 species
AGCCAACAGAAAAUAUUUUUGGUUUAACCUGCCCAAUGUGAAAUAUGAAUGGCCGCGGUACUUUGACCGUGCUAAGGUAGCGUAAUCAGUUGGCUUUUAAAUGGAGUCAGGAAUGAAUGGAAUAACCUGGUUUAGCUGUCUCUAAAUUAUUCAUUUGAAUUUACUGUUUAAGUGAAAAAGCUUAAAAUAGGAAAAGGGACGAGAAGACCCUUAGAAUUUUUUUUAAAAAGAAUUAACUUUAUGAUUUUGUUGGGGCGACAGAGAAAAAUUUAAAACUUUCCGUUAUUACAAGCCGAAUAUUUAAGUGAGGAUAAAUUACCUGAGGGAUAACAGCAUAAUUCUAAAAUUGAGUUUGUGACCUCGAUGUUGGACUAGGAAACUAGCAGAUCAGCCGUUUGCUGUGUGGGUUCUGUUCGAACUUUAAUUCCUACGUGAUCUG